rnacentral:rRNA from 1 species
UAAUACAUGCAAGUCGAGCGAACAGACGAGGAGCUUGCUCCUCUGACGUUAGCGGCGGACGGGUGAGUAACACGUGGAUAACCUACCUAUAAGACUGGGAUAACUUCGGGAAACCGGAGCUAAUACCGGAUAAUAUAUUGAACCGCAUGGUUCAAUAGUGAAAGACGGUUUUGCUGUCACUUAUAGAUGGAUCCGCGCCGCAUUAGCUAGUUGGUAAGGUAACGGCUUACCAAGGCAACGAUGCGUAGCCGACCUGAGAGGGUGAUCGGCCACACUGGAACUGAGACACGGUCCAGACUCCUACGGGAGGCAGCAGUAGGGAAUCUUCCGCAAUGGGCGAAAGCCUGACGGAGCAACGCCGCGUGAGUGAUGAAGGUCUUCGGAUCGUAAAACUCUGUUAUUAGGGAAGAACAAAUGUGUAAGUAACUAUGCACGUCUUGACGGUACCUAAUCAGAAAGCCACGGCUAACUACGUGCCAGCAGCCGCGGUAAUACGUAGGUGGCAAGCGUUAUCCGGAAUUAUUGGGCGUAAAGCGCGCGUAGGCGGUUUUUUAAGUCUGAUGUGAAAGCCCACGGCUCAACCGUGGAGGGUCAUUGGAAACUGGAAAACUUGAGUGCAGAAGAGGAAAGUGGAAUUCCAUGUGUAGCGGUGAAAUGCGCAGAGAUAUGGAGGAACACCAGUGGCGAAGGCGACUUUCUGGUCUGUAACUGACGCUGAUGUGCGAAAGCGUGGGGAUCAAACAGGAUUAGAUACCCUG